rnacentral:lncRNA from 10 species
UUUGGCUCUGUGUCACCACUCAAAUCUCAUCAUAUUGAGGGAGGGAACUGUAAUCCCCAUUGUUGAGAGAGAGAGGUGAUUGGAUCAUGGGGGCAGUUUUCCCCAUGCUGUUCUCAUGAUAGUGAGUGAGUUCUCAUGAGAUCUGAUGGUUUUUUAAGUGUUUGACAGGUCCUCCUUCACAAGCUCUCUUUCUCCUGCCGCCUUAUGAAGAAGGUGCCUGCUUCUCCUUCGCCUUCCACCAUGAUUGAAAAUUUCCUGUGUGGCCAUGUGGAACUGACUGACUCUGGAACUGUGUAAGAAACUGCUAGUGCCUGAUAAACUCAGUACUGGAUAAACAGCUCUCUACUGAUCAACCAAGAGCUGCUUGGUUCAUGGAUAGCAAUUCCAAGGUAAAUGAAUACCAGCCUGUUUGGAAUGCUGUUAUUUUGAUCAAAUAAGGUAAAAAUAGACGUGCUCGAUGGGCUGAAUUGCAUGCCGUUUUUUCCCAUUGAUUCAUAGCCUGUUAUUUCCUGUGCAGCCUGUGUAUCUGCAGCCAUCUGGGCAAAACAGAGCUGCUGCAGUAGACAAGCAAGAUCGUCCUAUGAAGAGAAACAGGAAUCCACUGCUGAUGCUAAUUUCUCUGAGAAGACUACUGGUCAGUUCUACCUGGCAUGCAGCUUCCUUCUCUUUGACAACAACAAAGACUAUUUUAAUCUUCCUGGCAUCAGCGCUUUGUCGUAAUCUGAAGGACAAGAAGAUGCAGUAAAGCAACAAUAAGUAACUAUGACCUCAUAUGUGGAGCCUAGAAUUAUAAGAAAAGAGUCAGAAAUACACUCCAUAUUGUCAUCUUUCUUUGUACGUGCUCAUAUGUGGGACACAUACAGGUCGAUGGGCAAAUCAGGUGCCAAGCAAAAUAGAUUACAUAAGAUUCUGAAUUAGGUACAGGUUUGUGACUUUGGUGGCUAACUCACUUGAAUCUGACAUGUAGCAGCUCUCAGCCUCAGUCUCCCUCAGAUAUUUGAAGCCUUACUGUAAAAGAUUCAAACACUACAGAGGCUUCAGAAGUGCUAGACUCUUCCUUCACCUCUUACAUUUUUACCCCCACACCGAACGAGGAUUGAACUGUUAAUAAUUUGUUGGGUUUCUGUGAAGACCUUUUCUUCUUCUUCUUUUUUUUAAUUUGACAGGGUCUUGCUUUGUUGCCCAGGCUAGAGUGCGAUAGCAAGAUCUCAGCUCACUGCAACCUCUAUCUCCCAGGCUCAAGGGAUCCUCCCACCUCCCCCUCACAAGUCAAGUAGCUAGGACCACAGGCACAUAUCACCAUGCCUAGCUAAUUUUUUAAUUUUUUAGAGUCGAGGUCUCACUUAUUGCCCAGACUGGUCUCAAACUCCUGGGCUCCAGAGAUCCUCCUGCUUCAGCCUCCCAAAGUGCUGGGAUUACAGGAGUGAGCCACCAGUGUGGUGGUGGCUAGUCCUUUUUUUAUGUCACCACUUGGAUAUAAAUAUAGAGAAAACCUUGAUCUUCUUAUUGUAUUAAUGGAGAAAUACAGCUUUGGUGAUUAUGGUAGAUUACAUGGUUGUUGCCUACUAUUGGGUCCCUUCUUAAAAGGAUAGCACACAUCCUUGUCUAUUGCAAUAUGAUUUGCAGUUCCUCCCAAUAUGUACAUCUGAGAGAGUGGAAAUUUACAUAGGCAAUUUGAACUUCCCAUCUGGAUCUCAGAGAAGUCUGAAAUAAAGUGAUGUAAAAAUUUGGGGGUUGUCAUAUGAAUGAUGGUGCUGUUCUCUAAAUCAGGGAACCAUGGAGAUGGGCCACCAUACCAGUUACUGUGACUAUGUAUAAAUAAAAAGUGC